rnacentral:rRNA from 1 species
GGUCAAGCUACUAAGGGCAUGCGUGUGGAUGCCUUGGCGCCAACAGGCGAUGAAGGACGUGGCCAGCUGCGAUAAGCCUCGGGGAGAAGCAAGCAUUCUAUGAUCCGGGGAUUUCCGAAUGGGGGAACCCAUCUGGUGUGAACACCAGAUAUCUUACGGUGAAUUCAUAGCCGUCUGAUGCAAACCUAGGGAAGUGAACCAUCUCAGUACCUAGAGGAAGAGAAAACAACCGUGAUUCCGAUAGUAGUGGCGAGCGAACUCGGAAUAGCCUAAACCGUCCGAUCCGAAAGGAGAGGGCGGGGUUGCAGGACCACAAUAAUCACCUGGUUUCGUGAAGCAAUUCGCGAGGCUCAGGUGGUUAAACAAGGGAUAAGAAAGUGUUAGCUGAACGGUCUGGAAAGGCCGGCCAAAGAGGGUGACAGCCCCGUAGACGAAAAUGCAAUCUUCCUUUAAGUGGCUCCUAAGUAGCGCGGGACACGAGAAACCCUGCGUGAAUCUGCCGGGACCAUCCGGUAAGGCUAAAUACUCGUUGGCGACCGAUAGUGAACAAGUACCGUGAGGGAAAGGUGAAAAGAACCCCUGCGAGGGGAGUGAAAUAGUACCUGAAACCGCAUGCCUACAAGCAGUGGGAGGGCUAUGGCCGCAAGGCCAUGCCUGACCUCGUGCCUAUUGAAUAAUGAGCUGGCUAGUUAAUCUCAGUGGCAAGGUUAAGCGUAAGCGAGCCGAAGCGAAAGCGAGUCUGAAUAGGGCGUUCAGUCGCUGGGAUUAGACGCGAAGCGGGAUGAUCUACCCUUGGCCAGGAUGAAGGUCGUGUAACAGCGACUGGAGGUCCGAACCAGUGUUGGUUGAAAACAGCUUGGAUGAGCUGAGGGUAGGGGUGAAAGGCUAAUCAAAUUCCGUGAUAGCUCGUUCUCUCCGAAAUAGCUUUAGGGCUAGCGUCGCGUGGUCCGUUCCGGUGGUAGAGAUCUGGAUGAACUAGGGGCCUUCCCAGGUUACCGAAUUCAACCAAACUGCGAAUGUCGGAAACGUGUAGCGCGGCAGUCAGACAGUGGGAGCUAAGUUUCAUUGUCAAAAGGGGAAGAGCCCAGACCAUCAACUAAGGUCCCCAAAUUCGUGCUUAGUGGGAAAGGACGUCAAGAGGCUCAGACAGCCAGGAGGUUGGCUUAGAAGCAGCCAUCCUUUAAAGAAAGCGUAAUAGCUCACUGGUCGAGCAGCUCGGCACCGACAAUCCAACGGGGCUGAAGCACGAUACCGAAGUUAUGGAUUUGCCGCAAGGCAAGUGGUAGGAGAGCGUUCUUUACUGCAGCGAAGGUAUACCGUAAGGAGUACUGGAGCGUAAGGAGGAGACUCUGCCAGCAUAAGUAGCGAAAAACUAGGCGAGAACCCUAGUCGCCGUAAGUCUAAGGUUUCCUGAGAAAGGUUAAUCCGCUCAGGGUUAGUCGGCACCUAAGGUGAGGCCGAAAGGCGUAGCCGAUGGACACACGGUUAAUAUUCCGUGACUUCCGUAGGAGAUACCGAUGCGGGGACGCAGACUCAAGAUCCCUCUGCGCAAUGGUUACAAAGAGGGGGGGAGAGGAGAACUGGAUAGGCAAAUCCGCCAGUUCGUCUGCCGGGAAAAUCCGCUAAGGGCUGAAGGAAGCCGUACCAUAAACCGACACAGGUGGACGAGAUGAGUAUUCUCAGGCGCUCGGGUGAUGCUUUGUUCAGGAACUAGGCACAUUAGCCCCGUAACUUCGGGAGAAGGGGUGCCCACGCAAGUGGGUCGCAGUGAAUAGCCUCAGGCGACUGUUUAACAAAAACACAGGUCUCUGCUAAGUCAACAAAACGACGUAUAGGGGCUGACGCCUGCCCGGUGCCGGAAGGUUAAAGGGAGAGGUUAGCCGCAAGGCGAAGCUUUGAACUGAAGCCCCGGUGAACGGCGGCCGUAACUAUAACGGUCCUAAGGUAGCGAAAUUCCUUGUC